UUGGAGAAACAGUUUACUAGUCUGUUGGGGGUUGGCAGCUACCAAAGAAGCUGGAGGUGGAUGAUCUGUGCUCCUGUGGACAUUUUUGGAUCAUCCUACAAGGAGCCCUCAGAAGCAGGAAGGGGAUAAGAGGUUUUCAAUACCCUUAGGUGGACUAAGGGACAAUAUUGGGAGCUCCAGCCAUUCUCUGGACCAUCUAGGACUCCUCAUCAUCCAGCCUCUCCUUGCCAAAAGACUCUAUAUGGGAAGAAAGCGAGACUCAGAAAGGCACAGCAACUUGCCCAUGGUACCCAAUGAGGGACAGAGACAAGAGGAAGAAAAAGAAACAAGAAUUUAUUCAUCACCUGCUCUGUGCCAGAAGUGAGUUUCUCCUGGCUCCUGCAACUCUCUCCCAGAAAUAAGGAAGAUGACAACUUCCAUAUAUUAACUUUCCCUAAUCUUCACAUUCCCCUGAGAUGACUUGCAUUAGAUCCUCCCAGGAAACAAAAAUCAUGAAGCCACUGUAUCUCCAGUGAGGGAACUUUGGACCAGCCACUCUUCGAGGUUACAUUCUACUUGCUAGCAAGAAGCAUUGAUUGGUGGAUUGAUGUUCUAUUUCAGACUGCAAAGAAGGGAAUCUCACACCAAGUUGUGCUGAAUGGGGUUGCCACUUGAGGGACCACAGAUGAAUGGAGCCCACAGGGCUACUGAUUUCCACCUGAUCCUGUGUAUUUUUCAAUAGGUGCCUCUAAUCUUGAGAGUUUCUCAUGUAAAUCAAUUCCCCCUUUUUAAUCUGAUCCUGAACACGGAUAGGUUGGUCCCUUUGGAUAAUUCAGGAGGUUUACUUGGUUUCCACUGAAUAUUGAAUAUUGAGCCAGGAGCUCAGGAUAACACCAGGCAUUACUACAAUGACACUCCUACAUCCCUAAACAUAUUUUUGCCUAAUAUUUCAACACUUCCAUUUCCCCCACUUUACCCAAAGUACUUCCUCAAAUUCUGUUAGAAAUUACAAGGAUACCCAAAGACUUUGUUUGUACCCUCAACUUGCCUUCAAUUGAAUGAUUCUCCAGCAGUUUACAAUUAAAACGCAUUAUGCUUUGGGUUUUUUUAAAGGUCCUGAAAUUAUAAAUGCUGGGGUCUAAAGUCAUCUUUACAUGCUCAAGGGGAAUCUUUACUCUCAUCUCAGGAAUAUAUCUUUCAAUUUUUUAUGUUAAUUGUGCUUAGCUUCUUGGCCUUCCAUAUACAGUUGAAUAUCUUUUUGCUUUAGUUCUUUCCCUAAUUAGUGUGUGAAACUCUGGGCAUUUUUUUUUUGUAUUUCAGUGUUAAAAAAAAAAAAGGACAUGAAUUCUAUAUGACAUAUCUGUGUGAACACAUUGCAAUGGGUUUCGUCUUUAUAAAUUAAGAUGAAUAGAAAAUUUAAAUCAAUCAACUAUUGGGCCUCACAGGCAAAAAGUAGCAAGUGUCUCUUUUCCCUCUUAAUAUGAACUGAUGAAACUUUUGAUUUCUUGGUUGAGGAUGGAUACUGACACCAAUAUCUCACGUAUCCAUACCUAGAGAGACUUUCUAAACUUUUUUUUAAAACUCUUUCUAGAAUUAAACUGAAUUUUGUAAAUAAUUAUAAUAAUAAUAAUCUCAAAUGAGGAGUAAGCUCCUAAAGGGAGAGACAGUCCCCUUAGCCACUAUGUUUCAGUCCAAAAGAGUGCGCACGAUACCCUUUUUUUACACCAAUUUAUUCAAUUUCCCACAAAGCAGGAAGGACCGCCACCAAAGCAAACUGCAAACUUGAAUGCAGCUUGCCAAGUUUAGUGUUGCUUACAGUUUUCUUCUUUACCCUCAAUCCUGUUACAAAUAAUGCAAACCUGUUUUUAUUAAUUUACAUUAAGUUCAUUUAACACCGAUGAAACAGACCAGAAAUGGAUAAUGAGGAACAUUUAACAAGCUCCUGCAUUAGGGCUAAUCAUGCUCUGUUUACGAGAGCUGAUCUCAUUCUCAGAGAAGAUCCCUAUAGAAUGAAUGUUGCAUCAGUAUUUAACAAGAAAAAAAAGAGGGGGGUGGGGGAAAAGUCACCAACUCCCCGAUAACAAAGAAAUGAACAAGCUUAAUAAUCUCCAAUUUGGUUUUCCACUCUACUUAAUGAUAUGGGCAAUGGGAGUUCGGUGGCCGGAGUCCAUGAGGAAACAGCCACAAGUACUGAAAAUUUAAUUAAAAGUCAGAAAGCCAUUGCAGUGAAGACUCAGCAGAAAGCCAUUUAUUUUUAAAAUCUAAUAUAUUCUUCAUGACUAAAGGCUAAAGCACAUGCUGACUUCCACAUUUAGCUGUAACUGAUUUAAGCCACUUGAUGGGUUUUUUUUCUUUCUUUCUUUUUCUUUUCUUUUUUUUCCCCCUCUGCUCACAGGGUGGUGCUCAAUUUGCAAUGGAGUAAAUUGGCAGAAUUUAAUUUGGUGGGUUUUUUUAACUCCAUAAGAAGAACCCUCAUUAAAGCCACACGAUCAGCUGUAUACUUUUUUUCAUCAUUAACUAGCCUAACUGCAGGUAAAAGAGAUACAAUUAUGGAUUUAUAUAAAUCCUAUUGUCAAUUUACAGCUGAAAGACUGGUGAGUUACCUCAUUUUAAAUAGGUUAUUUUUUCCCUUAACCUUUCUUUGUUUUAAUGAGGAUUUGGUUUGUCACUGUCUGAGGAGACUGUUUGCAAGAAAGUUUCUUGGAAAUUACAAGGAGGAAAAAGUAGAUGCAGAUGAAGACAUUUCGCUAAAUUUCAAAUCCACAUAGAAAUUCAUUUUCAGGGUAAUGUAUCUGUAGUAGAUGAGCUUUCCUGCCACACGAAAACUCUUGAGUUUGGGAACCGAGGCAGGCACCCAGGAGCAGGAAAUGAGGAAGCCAAAGGGAAAUUGACCUGGAAAGGAAGAAGGGAAAGACAAGAUGGUAAGACAGAAUUUGUCAUUGAAUUUCAAAAUUGGAAGGAAUCUCAAAAGUCAUCUAGCCUAGCCUGAAUUUGAACAAGAGGCCCUCUAGAGAGCACCCAACAAGUGGAAAUAUAGCCUUUACUUAAGGAUAUCUGGCAAAGGACUCCAUGCUACACCAUCUGGAGUUUUCGUGGCAAAGAUACUGCAGCGAUUUGCCAUUUCUUUCUCCAGCUCAUUUGGCAGAUGAGGAAACUGAGGUCAACAGGGUUAGAUGACUUGCACAGGGUCUCAUAACUGGUAAGUGUCCAGAGGCCAGAUUUAAGCUCAGAAAGACUUGUCUUCCUGACUUCAGACCUAGUACUCUAGCCAUUGCAACACCUAGCUGCCUGAGACUCUCUUUAAACCUUCUCUACACCUUUGAUUCAUAGAAAUACAUAGUAGAAACCUUCUAUCCUUGUUGCUUUCUUGCCUCUUUUUAUGUAUUCUCUCCCCUUUUAGAUUGAAAGUUUUCUAAGGGCAGGACUGCUUUUCUUCUCAUUAAUUGUAACCCCAGAGCUCAGCAUGGUGCCAACCUAAUAAUAAAUGUUGAUUGAAUUGGA